AUUAGAUACCCCCGUAGUCCCAGCCGUAAACAAUGUGCGUUAGGUGUGUCGGUAACCACGUGUUACUGAUGCGCCGAAGAGAAAUCGUGAAACGCACCACCUGGGAAGUACGGUCGCAAGGCUGAAACUUAAAGGAAUUGGCGGGGGAGCACCACAACAGGUGGAGCCUGCGGUUUAAUUGGAUUCAACGCCGGACAUCUCACCGGAUAAGACAGCUGAAUGAUUGUCAAUCUGAAGGUUUUACAUGACUAGCUGAGAGGAGGUGCAUGGC
rnacentral:rRNA from 1 species